AUUGAACGCUGGCGGCAGGCCUAACACAUGCAAGUCGAGCGAGUGGCGGACGGGUGAGUAAUGUAUGGGGACUGCCCGAUAGAGGGGGAUAACUACUGGAAACGGUGGCUAAUACCGCAUACUAUCGGAUAACCCAUAUGGGAUUAGCUAGUAGGUGGGGUAAAGGCUCACCUAGGCGACGAUCCCUAGCUGGUCUGAGAGGGUGAGGAGCCACACUGGGACUGAGACACGGCCCAGACUCCUACGGAGGCAGCAGUGGGGAAUAUUGCACAAUGGGCGCAAGCCGGCUGCAGCCAGGCAGCGUGCGUGAAGAAGGCCUUAGGGUUGGAAAGUACUUUCAGCGAGGAGGCGUUACCCGCAGAAGAAGCACCGGCUAACUCCGUGCCAGCAGCCGCGGUAAUAC
rnacentral:rRNA from 1 species